rnacentral:lncRNA from 1 species
UGGGCAUAUCGAAUAACCGAUAGGAGAAUCUUCAUUCAACUUAGCCUAUGAAAUUGAGGUGAUAAUUCCACUUGAGAUUGGAUUACCAUCAGUAAGAGUUGAACAAUAUAAUGAGCCGAGUAAUUCUGAAUGUUGGAGAGUCGACUUAGACUUACUCCCGAAAGUCCAACAGCAAGCUCAAGUUCGGAUGGUAGCUUAUCGACAGAGAG